UUCGGUUGAUCCUGCCGAAGGCUACUGCUAUUGGAGUUCGAUUAAGCCAUGCGAGUCUAAGGGGUACUUGUACCCCUGGCAUAAUGCUCAGUAACACGUGGAUAAUCUACCCUUAGGUGGGGCAUAAACCCGGGAAACUGGGGCUAAUUCCCCAUAGAUACAGAAGGCUGGAAUGCCUCUGUAUUCAAAGCUCCGGCGCCUAAGGAUGAGUCUGCGUCCUAUCAGGUAGUAGUCAGGGUCACGACCUGACUAGCCAACGACGGGUACGGGGUGUGAGAGCACUUGCCCGGAGAUGGUUUCUGAGACACGAAACCAGGCCCUACGGGGCGCAGCAGGCGCGAAAACUUCGCAAUGCGGGAAACCGUGACGAGGGAACUCCAAGUGUCUAUGCAAUGCAUAGACUGUUUUUCAGCCUAAAUAGCUGUUAGAGUAAGGGGUGGGUAAGACCGGUGCCAGCCGCCGCGGUAACACCGGCACCCCGAGUGGUAGCCACUAUUAUUGGGCCUAAAGCGUUCGUAGCCGGUUUAGUAAAUUCUUGGGUAAAUCGUACAGCUUAACUGUGCGGAUUCCGGGGACACUACUAGACUUGAGACCGGGAGAGAUUAGAGGUACUUGCAGGGGAGCGGUGAAAUGUUGUAAUCCUGCAGGGACCACCAGUGGCGAAGGCGUCUAAUCAUAACGGCUCUGACGGUGAGGAACGAAACCCUGGGGCGCAAACGGGAUUAGAUACCCCGGUAGUCCAGGGCGUAAACGCUGCUGACUUGGUGUUGGAGAUCCUACGAGGGUGUCCAGUGCUGGCGCGAAGGUAUUAAGUCAGCCGCCUGGGGAGUACGGUCGCAAGACUGAAACUUAAAGGAAUUGGCGGGGGAGCACUGCAACGUGUGGAGCGUGCGGUUUAAUUGGAUUCAACGCCGGAAAACUCACCGGGGGCGACGGUUACAUGAAGGCCAAGCUGAUGACUUUGCCUGAUUUUCCGAGAGGUGGUGCAUGGCCGCCGUCAGUUCGUACCGUAAGGCGUUCUGUUAAGUCA
rnacentral:rRNA from 1 species